AACGUGACGACCGGGGGGGUAUUCCAGAAAGCGGGUUCUGUGAAAACUCUUGAGUAAAUUACCCCGGAAAUGAGGGAAACUCUGAGUUAUCCGUUCCAGAAAGAGAGUCGCCUUGGCAGAAAUGA